GGGAACUAAUAGGAAGCCUGAAGACUAAUUGAAUAUUGACGAUAGAUGCGUAGAUGGGUGUUGGUUAAAAAUAAAAAUGAAAGGGGAUGUUGAAUUUGCGAAAUCGACUCCCCUUGGCCUUGGGGCACCGGCAUACUGAAGGGCGUUGCAGCAGCAGCUGAACAACUGAACAACUGAACAAGUGAAGAUUAACAUCGUCAUGAUCUAGUAGUUGCCAUUUUCAAACUAUGCAAAUUUUGUCACACGGCAAAAUAACAUACUCAAGAGUGAAGUAAUUAUGAGUUGUUUGGAGAUGGAAUCUGGUUCCUUGGCAUGUAUGCUGAAUACAGAAAUAAGUGCUGUUUUGGCAGUAAUGAGAAGGAAUGUCAGAUGGGGGAGUCGCUUUACCUCAGUUGAUGACCAACAAGAGCACACUCUCAUUCAGUCUUUUAAGGCUUUGAGAAAGAAAGUAUUCACAUGGCAUGCUCACUGCCACACCAUUAAUCCUGUCAUGUAUCUCCAACCUUUCCUUGCUGUCAUUCAAUCUGAAGAAACCGGUGCUCCCAUUACAAGUGUUGCUUUGUCGUCUGUCUUGAAGAUCUUAACACUAGAUCUAUUUCAUAUACAUACUGUUAAUAUUCAAGAUACAAUGCAUUUGAUUGUUCAAGCUGUCACCACCUGUCAUUUUGAGGUUACUGAUCCAGCUUCUGAAGAAGUCGUACUAAUGAAGAUUCUUCAGGUUCUUUUAGCAUGUGUAAGAAGUAAAGCAUCACUUGCUUUGAGUAAUCAACAUGUUUGCAAUAUAGUGGAAACUUGUUUUCGGAUUGUUCAGCAAACAGCUUCAAAGGGUGAGUUAGUGCAGCGCAUUGCUCGUCACUCAAUGCAUGAACUUGUUCGUUCUAUUUUUUCACGCCUUCCAGAAGCAAACCGCACAUAUCAUGAGUUGACUAGUGGAGGCAACUUAAUUAAUCAUGAGAUUCAGCAGGUUAAUAGUGAUCCCAAUUUAGUAGCUCCUGAACCUGGUUUUAAUGAUAACACUACAAACUACAGUGAAGUGUUCGUGGGAUGUUCUACUUCCAGCUCUAUUCCUUUGGUAGAUGGUAUGACUAAUGGAACCAUGGAUGAUGUAUUGCAUUAUGAUUCACUUCUCAUGAAUCAGCAAUUCGGAGUGCCAUGUAUGGUUGAGGUACUUCGUUUAUUGUGUUCUUUGUUGAACAUUACAGAGCAUGUUGAUACGAGUCGGAAAUCCAACUCUUUGGCUUUUGAUGAAGAUGUACCCCUUUUUGCUUUGGGCUUGAUUAAUUCAGCUAUAGAGUUAGGUGGUCCUUCAUUGCACAGGCACCCAAGGUUGCUAAACUUGAUUCAGGAUGAUCUAUUCUGCAAUCUGAUGCAAUUUGGCUUGUCUAUGAGCCCACUUAUUCUUUCUGUGGUUUGUAGCAUCGUUCUCAAUUUAUAUCAGCACUUGCGUGUUAUGCUGAAACUACAAUUGGAGACUUUCUUUUCUUCUGUGAUAUUGAGGCUUGCACAGAGUAGUUACGGGGCUUCUUAUCAGCAGCAGGAGGUUGCAAUGGAGGCCCUUGUUGAUUUCUGUAGGCAGAAGACAUUUAUAAUGGAGAUGUAUGCUAAUUUUGAUUGCAAUCUAACCUCUAGAAAUAUUUUUGAAGAGUUGGUUAAUGUGUUGUCAAAAAGUGCAUUUCCAGUGAAUAGUACACUCUCCACGAUGCACAUUCUUGCUUUGGAAGGCUUGAUUGCAGUGAUCCAGGGAAUGGCUGGAAGGACAAAGGAAGAAGUUCGUCUGGGCAACACUCCCACCACGCUUGAAGUGUAUAAACCAUAUUGGUUGUUCAAGUGUGAUAGUUACGAGGAACCGAGUCAUUGGGUUCCAUUUCUUCGCCAAAUGAAGUAUAUCAAGCAGCGCUUGAUGACUGGUGCCGAUCAUUUCAAUCUUGGCCCCAAGAAAGGACUGGAGUUUCUUCAGGGAACACAUUUGUUGCCUGAGAAACUUGAUGCUCAAAGUGUAGCUUGCUUUCUUAGAUAUACUGGUGGGUUAGAUAAGAAUCUCGUUGGAGACUUCCUGGGAGAUCAUGAGGAGUUUUGUGUUCAGGUUCUUAAUGAAUUUGCUCAGACUUUUGAUUUUAAGGGUAUGAGUUUGGAUAAUGCAUUAAGGAUCUUUUUGGAGACCUUCAGACUCCCUGGAGAGUCACAAAAGAUACAGAGAGUGCUUGAAGCAUUCUCAGCGAGGUACUAUGAGCAGUCGCCACAUAUUUUUGCAAACAAAGAUGCUGCUCUAGUGCUGUCUUAUUCACUUAUAUUGUUGAAUACUGAUCGGCAUAAUGCACAAGUGAAAAAGAAGAUGACAGAGGAGGAUUUUAUACGAAAUAAUAGGCGUAUCAAUGAUGGUAAUGACCUCCCUCGAGAAUUAUUGUCCCAGUUGUACAACUCAAUCUGUGAGCAUGAGAUACGUAUUACUCCAGAGCAAGGUUCUGGUUCCUGUGAAAUGAGACAGAGCCAUUGGAUGGAUCUGAUGCAAAAAUCCCGUAAUACAUCUCCUUAUAUAGUAGCAGUUGAUAAGCCGUAUCUUGAUGAUGAUAUGUUUGCUUUAAUAGCAGGCCCAACUGUUGCUGCCAUCUCUGUUGUAUUUGAUCAUGCAGAGGAUGAGGAUGUUUACCAACUUUGCAUCGAUGGCUUCUUAGCUGCUGCUAAGAUUGCAGCACACUUCCAUCUCGACUCUGUGCUUGAUGAUAUUGUCAUUUCUCUUUGCAAGUUUACAACACUCUUGAAUCCGUCAUAUUUUGAGGAGUUUCUUUUGGCAUAUAGUAAUGACACAAGGGCCAGGAUGGCGACAAUGACAGUGUUCACUGUUUCAAAUAUAUAUGGUGAUUAUAUUCGAACAGGCUGGCAAAACAUACUAACCUGCAUCUUGCGAUUUUAUGAAUUUGGCUUUCUUUCUGCCUUUUCCGUGUGUGACACUGCAGAUGAACCUGGUUUCUCUGCUAUUCUUGGAGUGGCUGGACAUGUAAAGCCUCUGCUAAAUUCAUUACCUUUGCCUCACAUACAAUCAAGUGUUGCUCCUAAGAAACCUUCAGGGCUCAUGGGCCGCUUUAGUCAGCUCCUAUCCUUUGAGAUCGAGGAGCCGAGUGCACAGCCCUCUGAAGAGGAAGUUUUUGCUCAGCAGCGUAUCGAAGAGACAAUUCAGAAGUGCCAAAUCAACAAUAUUUUUAUUGAGAGCAAAUUUUUGCAGGCUGAUGCCUUGAUGCAUCUUGUAUGUGCAAUUGUGGCGGCAGAGCAAAUACAAACGGAAGCUAGUUAUUCGGAGAAUGAAGUUAAUGCUGCAUUUUGUCUCGAGUUAUUGAUUGCCAUCACUCUGAACAACCGAGAUAGGAUCUCACUUCUAUGGCAGUCUGUCUAUGAGCACAUCUCUAAUAUUGUUCAAUCAACUACGGUUCCGUGUGCUUUGGUGGAAAAGGCUGUUUUUGGGCUUCUUCGGAUAUGCCAACGCUUAAUACCCUAUAAAGAAGAUUUAAUUGAUGAAAUUUUGAAGUCACUGCAGUUAGUUUUGAAGCUUGAUGCUCGGGUUGCUGAUGCUUACUGUGAACAAAUUACACAGGAAGUAGGACAGCUAGUGAAGACAAAUGCCAAUCGCAUCAGAUCACAGAUGGGUUGGCGUGUGAUCCUGUCUCUUCUUGCAAUUACAGCACGACAUCCAGAGGCUUCUGAAGCUGGAUUUGAAGCACUAUCUUUCAUAAUGAGCGAGGGAGCCCACUUGUUGCCUUCAAAUUUUGUUCUUUGUGUUGAUGGAGCAACGCAAUUUGCGGGGUCUCGUGUGGGUGAAGUGGAGCGAUCUGUCCAUGCAUUGGAUCUGAUGUCAGGAUCAUUGAGUUGUUUGGUUCGGUGGGCACGUGAGAGCAAGGAACUUGUGAAUGUGAAUGAAGUUGCUAUGGUCUCUAAGGAUAUUGGUGAGAUGUGGUUAAGACUUGCGCAAGGAUUGAGAAAGCUUUGUUUGGAUGACAGGGAAGUUGUUCGGAACCACGCUCUUUUUUCUCUACAGAAAUGCUUGAGCGGGGUGCAAGAGAUCUAUCUUUCACACUUGUGGUUACAGUGUUUUGAUGUGGUCAUAUUUCCGUUGCUGGACGACUUUGUCGAAAUUGCGCAAGGGAAAUCUUCAAAAGCAUACAGAAACCUGGAAGCCAUGCUUUUGGUUGCCAUCAAGCUCCUAUCUAAAGUGUUUCUGCUCUCUCUCAAUGAAGUUAUGCAGUUACCAACAUUUAACAACUUGUGGAUGGCUGUUUUACGCCAGAUGGAAACUUAUAUGAAGGUCAACAUUAGAGGAAAGAAGAGCGAGAAGCUCCGUGAACUAGUUCCUGAGCUCCUCAAAAACUCAUUGCUUAUAAUGAAGACAGGGGGGCUGCUUAUACCGGGUAGUGGUUCGGGUGGAGAUAGCUUAUGGGAACUGACAUGGUCACAUGUGAAUAAAAUUGCACCUUCCUUGCAAGCUGAAGUGUUUCCAAAUGCUGAUUUAGAUAGAGGGCAGCAUAACCAAGGCAAGAAAGAAGCAAUCCAAGCCUCCGCCGUUUCUAUUCCUAGCAAAACUGUGGCUUUAGAAGGUUAAAACGAACUGACCAUGUGUAUUGGAGACUGUUGCCUUUCACCAGUUCAAGUUGAUACACGUAGUGAUGGUCGAAUAAGAAAUAUUGUCCAAGAUGUGCUAUUUGUGCUGAUGUUUUGAAUUAAUACGGAUGAAAAAACCCUGGUCUGGACUUAUAUGCUUUGAAGUCAAUGGUACACAUACAAAGAUGGAUGUCAAGCUUCUGCCAGUUGAAUUUCGUUGAACUUGUGCAAUGUAAUAAUGGGGAUAUCUCGAUUCUCUGGAGGCCAAACACAUUUCAGGUGACUGAAGAUAAUGGUAAGACGGUUUUUCGAAUCAAGGUCCAGAAGUAUGAGAUCAUGCAUGACAUCAAUGCCUUUCGGAGCAUUCUUGAGCGUUCUGGAGGACCCUUGUACAUUCUUGUAGAAUCUUCUAGCUUAGUCCAUCCUUGUGCAGAUUUGUAUAGAGCAUUCUAGAAAGGCCUUGUAUCUUAGCUUUGUGUAUUUUCCACGAUUGAUACCGAAUAUACUGAUUAAGAUUGUAAAUUCUCUUUUUUGUUUUUCUUCCCCUUGGUAUCUAAUUGAUCACGAUAUUAUAAUUUGUUAAUUGCAUUGUAGCUUUGAAGAUGUUAUUUCAUAUAGUUUUAAAUGUCGUUUCUUAAUUUUGAGUCCAAAUCUUACCUUUAGAAUCACGGUUAAUUUUGUUAAGUCUACCUAAUUGAGUACUUCUAUACUUGUACACGGAUGAACAUUUCUAUGAUGUUCGUAAAUAAAUAUGACAAUGGAAAUUUAAUGAUUUAGGAUGAUUUUAGAUUAUAUAAUACGGGUCUUAUAUCAUUCUAACUCUUUAGUAUACUUUCUCUGGUUCCUUUUAUGGAAAUGUCACCUUAAGUGACACAUAACUUAAAAUGCCGAACAAACUUCUAUUUCCUUACUCUUUAAAAAGCAAGAAGUUUGGUUGCUGUAGCAAUAUAAUAGUGAAUGGGUGGUUUUGCCCGUUGUGUUCCUUGUUCCUUCCAAAGACAAAAGGUAACUGGUUUUGCCCUUGCUUUGCCUUUUUUCUGUCCCUGUAGCUGUUGCUUCCCUCUCUUCAGCUUGUACCUGCUUUUCUUUCUUUACUUUCUCUUUCCUCCCCGUUUUCCUAAUAAAUCUCCUCCAUCUUCAUCCUUCUCUAUAACCUAGAUGAUUCUCCUUCAUUUUCUCUCUCCUCUCCUCUUCUUUGUUUUUGUUGUUUUUUUUCUUGCUCAGGGUUUAUCAGCUCAACUAUCAGUGGUGCUUCCUCCUAAAGGAUGGAACUUUAUGCUUUAAAGAAGGUGUGCUUGAGAUAUACAAAAGGUAAGGCAAGUCAGUUUAGAAAAUUUAGAAUUAACUAAUUGGUACUCCCUCCGCUUUUAUUUAUUUGCUACAUUCUUGUUUACACAAGAAUUUAGGAGAUGUCCCUUUCAUUCUUUUUUGGUGUACUUUUUGACCCCUUUAGCAUUAAAUAAGGUGGGAAAAGGGAAAAAAGUAGUACUUUUUGGUGGAAGAAGAGGGGAAACAAAUAUAAUACUAUUACUUUUUGGUGGGCCAAGUCUCCUAAUAAGGAAAUGUAGCAAAUAAAAAAAAGCAACCCUUUUUGGAAAAUGUAGCAAAUAAAUAAAAGCAGAGGGAGUAAAUGAUAUUGUUCUCAAUUUUGAAAAAGUCAGCUUCCUGUAUUUUCAUCUAACUAUGUAUUUCUAAUGUUAAUCUUUGUUAUCCUAUUCUCAUCUUCGCCUUCCAUUCUCCUGUACUCAGGUAAAUCAAAAUGCUUUUCUUUAAUUCUUUGUAGUUGCUACAUUCAGUUUAUGUUCCAAAAUUAAAAUUUUGAUUGUGUUUUAUUUUGAAUUUUUCCUGAUAGAAUUACAAUUUGCCAUCUAUUAUUUUUGAAUUUCCACAUUAAUUGUGUUAUGAAGUGGACUGAGGUAACUGCACCUUUUGACUUAACUUGUUUACCGUGGGUUAUUCUUGUUAAGUAAGAGACUAAGAGUAACCAUAUUAUUUUUCUUUUCCUUUCCCUUAUAUAUCUUUGACUAAGAGUAACCUGGUUAAGAACAUUUUGUGUGACUCAAGGUUUCAGAGGCUGGAUUUUGAGGCAAGAAAAGUUGCAUUUUUGGACUUCUAAGGUCCGGUAUUCUGAUUAUAUAUGAAUGGUGUGGUUGUGUUUGGGUUCUCUUUGACUUGCUGCAUGUAUACUGGACGCUUGGAGAUAAUAUUGGUCUGCUCCUUGAUGGAUGUAAUCAAGGGAGAAUUCGAGAAGGGAGAUGAUAGUGAUCCUUGGGUCAAAUGGAAGCAAGGAGGCAUUAUUGGCAGAGCUGCUUUUGGCUGGAGGGGUAGUGUUGACUGUAAUCGGAGGAGUAGUUGCUCCUGCAAUCUCUCAAGGGUUUGGCGCUGUGCUCCAACAUUGGGAAGUCUGUAACCUGCCACUGGUGCAGGUGGAUUUUCUGCAGCUGCUACUGCUGUUAGAUAUUUUGAAUGUUGUCAAGGAAGAACCUGAAGUCAAAUUAGAGGAUAAUUUACUUCUUGAUGCAAAUAAUGGAGAUACUGCUCUUUUAUCUAAAGCAAUGGCGGAAGAAGAAAAGAAAUUGCUCGAAGCGAGAGUGAAGGAAGAAGAGAAAUUGGCAAAUGAAGCCGGCCAUUUGAAUGAGAUUCAGUUUUUUAAAGUUUGAUGAUUUUGAACUCAAAGCAGCUUUACUCAGCAUUCUUGUUGGAAAAGAUGGAUCACGUUACAUUAAAUGGAGUGGAGGAACAAAAAGAAGAGCCCGGCAGGGGAAGGAAGAGAGGACGGGGUGGAAAGAGGGAAGCUUCACAGUACGAUGAUGUGAGCAGUGAGCACUUCACUUUUUCCUUGAAUUUAGGAGCAGUAUUGUGGCAUUUGUUUACGUAGUAACAAGUUAUGAUAGUGUCAGCCAAUGCUUAAUCGACAGCGAUGCAGAAUUGGUGUUAUUUUGGUGAUGUAUCUGGAUGUUCCUUUUCUCUUUAUGGUGGCCAAACUUAAUGGGGUUUUGUUUCUGUCACGUACCAAUGUUCUACUUUACAUGUUCGAAAAUGGAUGGGAAUCUUUAUUUGUUGUUAAGUUGGUGCUGAUCUUUAACCAUGGACCUAACUGUUAAUUGUAUUCCUUUAUGUACUAUAUAUUUGAAUUUUGUUGUUGGAACAUCAUAUGUAUUUAACAUUUUACAUUUUGUAUAAAAGUUUGUAAUCUUUAUUCAGGAAUGAGGUCCUUCAGAUAUCAUCUCUCGUUAUGUAAUGCAUGGAAGCAACAUAGCUGAGAUACUCAAGCAGUAAUAGCUUUCUGGAAGCACUUAAAAGGGCAAGACAUCAGUGAACUGGUUUUGAAAUUAUUUAUAGUUAUCCAUGUGCCAUUAGACUGCUUUGCUGUAUUUUGGUUCUUGACAGAUGGUGGCACCUGGCACUUCAGCACUGUGUAAAGAUAUAAUUGCGCAACUUUUACCAUUAAUCUCAAAAGGAGUCCUGACUCAUGGUGUUUAAUGCUGACGGAAAGAAAAGAGAUCAAUCAUUUUAGGCGUGGGUUCCACAGGAAGAAAUGAGGUGCGGACCUUGGCUAAUAUUCAAGGGAAGAUGAAGGUGAAGACGGGCGAGCAAGCGGAGCGGGAUGGAGGAAAAUUGAAAGUCAUAGAAUCCUAUGUGAAGUUUGGUUAUUGUUAUUAUUGUUUUGACACAUAGAUAAUGUUUCAAGAGAUGAUGUAUUGGAAUUUGGAGUUGGAUAAAACUUUAUAGUAUAUCCUAAUCUUGUUUUUUUAA